rnacentral:rRNA from 1 species
UCGGGAAUAUUGCGCAAUGGAGGAAACUCUGACGCAGUGACGCCGCGUGCAGGAAGAAGGUUUUCGGAUUGUAAACUGCUUUAGACAGGGAAGAAACAAGACAGUACCUGUAGAAUAAGCUCUGGCUAACUACGUGCCAGCAGCCGCGGUAAUACGUAGGGAGCAAGCGUUAUCCGGAUUUAUUGGGUGUAAAGGGUGCGUAGACGGGAAUGCAAGUUGGUUGUGAAAUCCCUCGGCUCAACCGAGGAAUUGCAACCAAAACUAUAUUUCUUGAGUGCUGGAGAGGAAAGUGGAAUUCCUAGUGUAGCGGUGAAAUGCGUAGAUAUUAGGAGGAACACCAGUGGCGAAGGCGACUUUCUGGACAGUAACUGACGUUGAAGCACGAAAGUGUGGGGAGCAAACAGGAUUAGAUACC